CAGACAGAGGAUAAGUAACUUGCCCAGGGUCACACAGCUAGGAAGUUGCAAUAGCAUCACAGGGUAGAGGGGGAUGGCUGUGCCCCUUCUGCCCUUUCUUUCUCAUCUGUUUCAUUCUUCUGCCUUCCAGGUUCCUGAUCCUCAGGCACUUGGUAGACAUUCCCCUUUGUCUCCUUGUAAUCUUUGUCUUUUUCAUUUUCUCCUUUUAGAUUUUUUCUUUCAUUCUUCAAGGGAAUUUCAUUCUCUCUGGUAAGCCAGACAGCCAAGAGUCAUUUCUCCAGCCUUUUUACUAUUGGCCACCUUCCCUUCAGGAGGCAGAAAAGCCCCGUAAUUAUGCGGCAAGUGAAAGACAAGGAGGACUGCAUGAGAGAGAUUCAUUUUCAUUGAGUGAUCUACUGCAUCCUAAGAACUCAUGUGAACAUAGUUAAGCUUAUGAAUAGAGAGGAGAAGACAAGUCAGCCUCUGGAGACAAUGCCUACAUGAUACAAUCUGAAAUGGUUGUACUCCUGACUCUACCGAAUGUUCUCUGCAGCCUCAGGAAACUUUUCACCUUGGAAGCCCACUCCAUCCCUGGAAUUCACACAUAGGAUUCACACCUUUCCACAUCUUUGCCCCUUUGGCCUCUCUUUCUGAUGGGCCACUGAUUCCUUUCCAUACCUCCGUUUUUAGGGGAAGGCAGGGACCAAUGAUGAUUUCAUUCUUCUAUAGGCUGACCUCCUGACUCUUUGGACUUCCCCUACAAAGCCCCAGUUCCCAGUACCUUCAUCUCUUCUCCCUCCCCACUCCCCACUUCGUUCAGCAUCUUUUCAUGUAUUGUCUUCUUCCGUUUGAAUGUAAGCUUCUUGAGGGCAGGAACUAUCUUUCUUUCUGCUUGUAUUUGCAUUCCCAGCAUUUGCACAGUGUCUGACACAUAGCAAGUGCUUAAUAAAUACUUGGUGACUUGUCUUGGAUAUCCUCCUGCCUGCAACUGACUUCCCUGAUGUUAUUUUAUAUUAAGAUACAGUCAAACUCCUAGAAAAACUGCUCCUAAAUCACUUAAGUGAGGGUUGAAAGGCACUCACAUUUCUCUUAAGUGAUUCACAUGUGUGUAUUUAUAGGUGCAUAUGUAUGUAGUCAACUGAAUGUUUAGCAAAUGCCUACUAUG